rnacentral:rRNA from 2 species
GAGUUUGAUCCUGGCUCAGGAUGAACGCUGGCGGCGUGCUUAACACAUGCAAGUCGAGCGAGAGCUAUCAAUUGGAGAGCUUCGGUUCAAAGAGAGAUAAGGAAAGCGGCGGACGGGUGCGUAACGCGUAGGUAAUCUGCCCAUAUCAUCGGGAUAACACAACGAAAGAUGUGCUAAUACCGAAUAAAAUACAUUUAUGGCAUCGUAGAUGUAUCAAAGUGUUAGCGGAUAUGGAUGAGCCUGCGUCUGAUUAGCUAGUUGGUGGGGUAAAGGCCUACCAAGGCAACGAUCAGUAGCCGACCUGAGAGCUUGAUCGGCCACACUGGAACUGAGACACGGUCCAGACUCCUACGGGAGGCAGCAGUGGGGAAUAUUGCACAAUGGGCGAAAGCCUGAUGCAGCAACGCCGCGUGAACGAAGAAGGCCUUCGGGUCGUAAAGUUCUGUCGCAUGGGAAGAUAAUGACGUACCA